UACGUAGGGUGCGAGCGUUGUCCGGAUUUAUUGGGCGUAAAGAGCUCGUAGGCGGCUUGUCGCGUCGGAGUGUGAAAGCCCGGGGCUUAACUCCGGGUCUGCAUUCGAUACGGGCAGGCUAGAGUGUGGUAGGGGAGAUCGGAAUUCCUGGUGUAGCGGUGAAAUGCGCAGAUAUCAGGAGGAACACCGAUGGCGAAGGCAGGUCUCUGGGCCACUACUGACGCUGAGAAGCGAAAGCAUGGGGAGCGAACAGG
rnacentral:rRNA from 1 species